rnacentral:rRNA from 1 species
AGUGAACGCUGGCGGUAGGCCUAACACAUGCAAGUCGAACGGCAGCACAGUAAGAGCUUGCUCUUACGGGUGGCGAGUGGCGGACGGGUGAGGAAUACAUCGGAAUCUACUUUUUCGUGGGGGAUAACGGAGGGAAACUUACGCUAAUACCGCAUACGACGUACGGGUGAAAGCAGGGGUUCUUCGGACCUUGCGCGACUGAAUGAGCCGAUGUCGGAUUAUCUAGUUGGCGGGGUAAAGGCCCACCAUGGCGACGAUGCGUAGCUGGCCUGAGAGGAUGAUCGGCCACACUGGAACUGAGACACGGUCCAGACUCCUACGGGAGGCAGCAGUAGGGAAUAUUGGACAAUGGGCGCAAGCCUGAUCCAGCAAUACCGCGUGGGUGAAGAAGGCCUUCGGGUUGUAAAGCCCUUUUGUUGGGAAAGAAAAGCAGCAGGUUAAUACCCCGCUGUUCUGACGGUACCCAAAGAAUAAGCACCGGCUAACUUCGUG